rnacentral:rRNA from 1 species
UUCACGCCGCGUGAGGGAUGAAGGCCUCUGGGCUGUAAACCUCUUUUAUCAAGGAAGAAGAUCUGACGGUACUUGAUGAAUAAGCCACGGCUAAUUCCGUGCCAGCAGCCGCGGUAAUACGAGAGUGGCAAGCGUUAUCCGGAAUUAUUGGGCGUAAAGCGUCCGCAGGCGGUCUUGUAAGUCUGUCGUUAAAGCGUGGAGCUUAACUCCAUUUGAGCGAUGGAAACUGCAAGACUAGAGUGUGGUAGGGGCAGAGGGAAUUCCCGGUGUAGCGGUGAAAUGCGUAGAUAUCGGGAAGAACACCAGUGGCGAAGGCGCUCUGCUGGGCCAUAACUGACGCUCAUGGACGAAAGCCAGGGGAGCGAAAGGGAUUAGAUACCCCUGUAGUCCUGGCCGUAAACGAUGAACACUAGGUGUCGGGGGAAUCGACCCCCUCGGUGUCGUAGCCAACGCGUUAAGUGUUCCGCCUGGGGAGUACGCACGCAAGUGUGAAACUCAAAGGAAUUGACGGGGGCCCGCACAAGCGGUGGAGUAUGUGGUUUAAUUCGAUGCAACGCGAAGAACCUUACCAGGGUUUGACAUUCUGCGAAUCCCUUUGGAAACGAGGGGUGCCUUGGGAGCGCAGUGACGGUGGUGCU